GCAACGAGAACGAUUUAAGAAUUCUUAUCCGAAAUUACAAAUAAUUUUAUUUUGUAUUAUUUAAACAAACAAAAAAAACUAUUAUUUUAAUUGUCUAUUGCUAGGGGGAAGGGCUUAAAGGGUGGAGAUGCAAAUGGCAGUUACUGUUCAUUUAAGGCAGUUACUGUUCAUUUAAGGCAGUUACUGUUUAUUUAAGGCAGUUACUGUUUAUUUAAGGCAGUUACUGUUCAAUAGGGUGGAUUGAAUAGUGGAUUACCAGGGGGAAGGGCUCCAUGGGUGGAGUUGCUC
rnacentral:lncRNA from 1 species